UAGCGCUUUUUCUGUGGUCAAAAUACUGUGUAUGACACAGUUCAGUGUUGCAAUGUUUACAGAAGCGCCGAGGUCGUUUCUUCAGUCUUGGGACUUCCAUCUUUCAACUGACAGCACACUGUGUUGAUAUCACACAGAGCUUCCGGCAUCGCGUUUGUUGUUUAUAUCAUACGCAUGCGCGCACGUCUCACAAGAUUUUCCUUAUAUCAAUAACCUCGCAUGUGAUUGGAGGAGCCCGACAGGCUUCUCGCCUUCGUCCAAUCACAUGCGAGGUCAUGGCCACGGCUCACACAGCAGUGUCGACGCGCGUAACAGACGUUUGGUUUGGUGUUUGUAACUCUCCAAGAAGAGAAGACGGGUGCACAAUCCCAAGAUUGCGGAGGCUGUACGGCGUCUCUGAGGCACACUGCAGGCGCUAUGAACCAGAGCAAAGACUAACGUCGCCUCAUAACAAAGCCGUGACCUCCGAUUUGCUUGGGGCU